UAAACUCAGAUGUAUCUUCUCCUUGUUGCCUCCUGCUCGUAUUGGGUAGAAUGAAAUUUAAUAAGUUUGUGAUAGAUCACAGUUCAUAAAAUUUUUCCUUAUUUUUCAUGUAUCUCUGGCUUUUCUACUUCUGGCUGGAACCAAGGACAAAAAUCCCUUCCCCUGAGUCUAAUCUUGGAGUCCCAUGUUCAAGUGAACUGUUCAUUCAGGUCAAAGGGACUUCAGUCAGAAACGGAGACAGUCAUCAGAGAUCUCUGUUAGCCUUUCUUUUAAGAUAGUGUCUGGAAUCUGUGUCCAUGGGACACUGGGAGCAGCUUCACCUACCUCAUCCCAGGAGCCAAGGAUAGAAGAAGCCAUGGAAGAGGAUAAUAGGGCCUUGAAGAGAUCCUGCAGAAUUUGGUUUAGGAGUGAACAUGACUACGUGGGAAGAAGAAGAGGGAAGAUUCACGCCCAGAAAACUUGAUUCUUACCUCGUACCAGUUUUAUGUCGUGUUACUUCGUUGAACAUGCUGGGAUUGAGAUCGGCUGUACGAACAGGUACAGGAAGGUGCCAUGCUAUGAGACGACCUCUGAAAUGGAGCCAGCAGGGUCAAGAGGAAGAGGAGUGACCCUCAAACCUUGAAUUGCUAGGUAGGAUCUGAAAACGGAGCCUUGUAUGCUCUUUUUUUGGCGGGUGCCAACUCGUCUUGCUGCAGUUGGAUAACGUUCAUUUGGAAAAGGCGCCUGAAAAAUUGAAGCUGCCAGAGGCGACUCUAAAGAGCGUAUGAUGGAAACAAAUUGAGUCACCACCAAUGUGGCUAACAUUGUUGGUGGAAACUGGGGCACCCGCAUGAGCCAUUGUUCGUUGUACCUCGUCUGGUUUAUGUAGCUCGCUGAGUUGAAAGCUGGAUCUGCAUUAACCUUGUGAUUCGAGAGGGAUUCAUGCAAUGUGGUUUCAAUUGUCUAUGGAUGCUUUCAGUCCGUACUGCGCGCUGCCAGUAACGAUGGGUCCUACUGGUCUCCCGCAUUCAUGGUGGUGUCUACAGCUCGCCCUGAUGAAGCUGUGGUGAGGACUGUUUCCUGAUGUGGUCACUUUUAGUGGGCUGCUGCUCUGCAAGUCUGCUAGGAGAGGAGUUUUUAUUCACUCUUCCCUCUGCCCCGAUAACAGCUGCUGCAUAGAAGUUUUCCCUGAAUACAUUUUGCUGUGGAAAAGAGCUAUUUUUUUUU
rnacentral:lncRNA from 1 species